rnacentral:rRNA from 1 species
UACGAAGGGGGCUAGCGUUGCUCGGAAUCACUGGGCGUAAAGGGUGCGUAGGCGGGUCUUUAAGUCAGGGGUGAAAUCCUGGAGCUCAACUCCAGAACUGCCCCCGAUACUGGGAAUCUAGAGUUCGGGAGAGGUGAGUGGAACUGCGAGUGUAGAGGUGAAAUUCGUAGAUAUUCGCAAGAACACCAGUGGCGAAGGCGGCUCACUGGCCCGAUACUGACGCUGAGGUGCGAAAGCGUGGGGAGCAAACAGG